UCGUGGAUGAGUUCUGGAUGAACUCAGGUUCGGCAGCCGAAGGUACAUUCGGCCGCCGAACCCUUGGAGAGGUGGCUUCGACUGCCAAAGCUCACCCCCGAGAGUUUUGAGUUUCGGCUCUGGAAGGGGGAUUCGGCCGCCGAAGGUGCCGCCGAAGGUUAGAGACUUUCGUCUCUGGAGUGUGUUUCAGCCCCCGAACCUUGCCCCCGAAAGGGUUCGGCUGCCG
rnacentral:lncRNA from 1 species